GUCUUUUCUGCAGCAGGAAGUGAUAUAAUCCUAGCUGGUUUUCUUCAGUAUUGCAGAGAUAGGAAGAGCA